rnacentral:tRNA from 1 species
ACUUUAGUGCCUGAGAAAAGGGCUGUUUUGAUAGAACAGAUUAUACUUACAUGUCUAAGGUG